rnacentral:rRNA from 1 species
UACAGAGGUCCCGAGCGUUGUUCGGAUUCACUGGGCGUAAAGGGUGCGUAGGUGGUGGGGCAAGUUUGAUGUGAAAUCUCCGGGCUUAACCCGGAAAAUGCAUUGAAUACUGCCUGGCUUGAGGUUUGGAGGGGGGUAGAAUUCCACGUGUAGCAGUGAAAUGCGUAGAGAUGUGGAAGAACACCGAUGGCGAAGGCAGCCCCCUGGGUCAAGAUUGACGCUCAUGCACGAAAGCGUGGGGAGCAAACAGG